rnacentral:rRNA from 1 species
GGCGUAGGCGGAAGUGUAAGCCAGACGUGAAAUCCCGGGGCUCAACCCCGGAACUGCAUUUGGAACUGCAUUUCUAGAGGAUAGGCGGAGAAAACGGAAUUCCACAUGUAGCGGUGAAAUGCGUAGAUAUGUGGAAGAACACCGGUGGCGAAGGCGGUUUUCUAGCUUAUUCCUGACGCUGAGGCCCGAAAGCUAGGGGAGCGAACA